GAAAUGCGAUAAGUAAUGUGAAUUGCAGAAUUCAGUGAAUCAUCGAAUCUUUGAACGCACAUUGCGCUCGCCAGUAUUCUGGCGAGCAUGCCUGUUCGAGCGUCAUUUCAACCAUCAAGCUCUGCUUGCGUUGGGGAUCCGCGGCUGCCCGCGGUCCCUCAAAAACAGUGGCGGGCUCGCUAGUCACACCGAGCGUAGUAACUCUACAUCGCUAUGGUCGUGCGGCGGGUUCUUGCCGUAAAACCCCCAAUUUCUAAGGUUGACCUCGUAUCAGGUAGGAAUACCCGCUGAACUUAAGC
rnacentral:misc_RNA from 1 species